GAUGAAGAACGUAGUGAAAUGCGAUACGUAAUGUGAAUUGCAGAAUUGUGAAUCAUCGAAUCUUUGAACGCACAUUGCGCCCUUCGGUAUUCCGGGGGGCAUACCUGUUUGAGCGUCAUUUCAUUCUUAAAUCAUUAGAUUUAGUGUUGAGUCUUUAUUUUUGUUUGUUUAUUCAGGCAAAAUGACUUGAAAUGAAUUGGCAGAGGCGAAUCCAGUUUAAGAGCUUUCUACAACGUAAUAGGUUUUACCAACUCGUUGGCUUUAUGGAAGUUCUGUUUGGAUGAGCUUUGGCGUUAUAACCAAAACUUUUAUAAGUUUGACCUCAAAUCAAGUAAGAUUACCCGCUGAACUUAAGCAUAUCAAUAAGCGGAGGA
rnacentral:misc_RNA from 1 species